rnacentral:rRNA from 1 species
UACGGAGGGUGCGAGCGUUGUCCGGAAUCAUUGGGCGUAAAGAGCGUGUAGGCGGCCCGAUAAGUCCGCUGUGAAAGUCCAGGGCUCAACCCUGGGAUGCCGGUGGAUACUGUCGGGCUCGAGUCCGGAAGAGGAGUGUGGAAUUCCGUGGUGUAGCGGUGAAAUGCGCAGAUAUCAGGAGGAACACCAAUGGCGAAGGCAGCACUCUGGGACGUGACUGACGCUGAGACGCGAAGCGUGGGAGCAAAGCAGGAU